GAUGAACGUUGGCGGCGUGCCUAACACAUGCAAGUCGAACGCUAGUAGCAAUAUUAGAGUGGCGCACGGGUGAGUAACACGUAGCUUACCCACCUCCCACGCGCGGGAGUAACGGUUACGAAAGAACUAGCUAAUACCGCAUAAGCUCACGGCCUGUAGAGGGCUGCGAGAAAAGGACGCAAGUCACUGGGAGACGGGGCGUGCGGCCCAUCAGCUCGUUGGUGAGGUAACGGCUUACCAAGGCGACGACGGGUA
rnacentral:rRNA from 1 species